rnacentral:rRNA from 1 species
AUUGAACGCUAGCGGCAUGCCUUACACAUGCAAGUCGAACGGCAGCACGGGAGCAAUCCUGGUGGCGAGUGGCGAACGGGUGAGUAAUAUAUCGGAACGUGCCCAGUCGUGGGGAUAACGUAGCGAAAGCUACGCUAAUACCGCAUACGAUCUAUGGAUGAAAGCGGGGGAUCGCAAGACCUCGCGCGAUUGGAGCGGCCGAUAUCAGAUUAGGUAGUUGGUGAGGUAAAGGCUCACCAAGCCGACGAUCUGUAGCUGGUCUGAGAGGACGACCAGCCACACUGGAACUGAGACACGGUCCAGACUCCUACGGGAGGCAGCAGUGGGGAAUUUU